GGACUCCUUAACUUAAACUGAGGAGUCAAGUAGGUACGAACCGUACAAG
rnacentral:rRNA from 2 species